GACGAACGCUGGCGGCGUGCUUAACACAUGCAAGUCGAACGAUGAAGCCGGAGCUUGCUCUGGUGAAUUAGUGGCGAACGGGUGAGUAACACGUGAGUAACCUGCCCUUGACUCUGGGAUAACUGCGGGAAACUGUAGCUAAUACCGGAUACGACCCUCGGAGGCAUCUCCUGGGGGUGGAAAGAAUUUCGGUCAAGGAUGGACUCGCGGCCUAUCAGCUAGUUGGUGAGGUAAAGGCUCACCGAGGCGACGACGGGUAGCCGGCCUGAGAGGGUGACCGGCCACACUGGGACUGAGACACGGCCCAGACUCCUACGGGAGGCAGCAGUGGGGAAUAUUGCACAAUGGGCGCAAGCCUGAUGCAGCAACGCCGCGUGAGGGAUGACGGCCUUCGGGUUGUAAACCUCUUUUAGCAGGGAAGAAGCGAAAGUGACGGUACCUGCAGAAGAAGCACCGGCUAACUACGUGCCAGCCGCCGCAGUAA
rnacentral:rRNA from 1 species